rnacentral:tRNA from 1 species
GCCUGGGUGGCUCAGUCGGUUGAGCGUCCGACUUUAGCUCAGGUCAAACCCGCGGUUUGUGGGUUCAAGCCCCACAUCGGGCU